UGAAUGAUCGGUGCUUGCACCGAGAUUCACUGGAACGAGUGGCGGACGGGUGAGUAACACGUGGGUAACCUGCCCUUAAGUGGGGGAUAACAUUUGGAAACAGAUGCUAAUACCGCAUAGAUCCAAGAACCGCAUGGUUCUUGGCUGAAAGAUGGCGUAAGCUAUCGCUUUUGGAUGGACCCGCGGCGUAUUAKCUAGUUGGUGAGGUAAUGGCUCACCAAGGCGAUGAUACGUAGCCGAACUGAGAGGUUGAUCGGCCACAUUGGGACUGAGACACGGCCCAAACUCCUACGGGAGGCAGCAGUAGGGAAUCUUCCACAAUGGACGCAAGUCUGAUGGAGCAACGCCGCGUGAGUGAAGAAGGCUUUCGGGUCGUAAAACUCUGUUGUUGGAGAAGAAUGGUCGGCAGAGUAACUGUUGUCGGCGUGACGGUAUCCAACCAGAAAGCCACGGCUAACUACGUGCCAGCAGCCGCGGUAAUACGUAGGUGGCAAGCGUUAUCCGGAUUUAUUGGGCGUAAAGCGAGCGCAGGCGGUUUUUUAAGUCUGAUGUGAAACGCCCCUCGGCUUAACCCGAGGGAAGCGCAUCCGGAAACUGGGGAAAACUUGAGUGCAGAAGAGGACAGUGGAACUCCCAUGUGURGCGGUGAAAUGCGUAGAUAUAUGGAAGAACACCAGUGGCGAAGGCGGCUGUCUGGUCUGUAACUGACGCUGAGGCUCGAAAGCAUGGGUAGCGAACAGGAUUAGAUACCCUGGUAGUCCAUGCCGUAAACGAUGAAUGCUAGGUGUUGGAGGGUUUCCGCCCUUCAGUGCCGCAGCUAACGCAUUAAGCAUUCCGCSUGGGGAGUACGACCGCAAGGUUGAAACUCAAAGGAAUUGACGGGGGCCCGCACAAGCGGUGGAGCAUGUSGWUUAAUUCGAAGCRACGCGAAGAACCUUACCAGGUCUUGACAUCUUUUGAUCASCUGAGAGAUCAGGUUUCCCCUUCGGGGGCMAAAUGACAGGUGGUGCAUGGUUGUCGUCAGCUCGUGUCGUGAGAUGUUGGGUUAAGUCCCGCAACGAGCGCAACCCUUAUGACUAGUUGCCAGCAUUUAGUUGGGCACUCUAGUAAGACUGCCGGUGACAAACCGGAGGAAGGUGGGGAUGACGUCAAAUCAUCAUGCCCCUUAUGACCUGGGCUACACACGUGCUACAAUGGAUGGUACAACGAGUUGCGAGACCGCGAGGUCAAGCUAAUCUCUUAAAGCCAUUCUCAGUUCGGACUGUAGGCUGCAACUCGCCUACACGAAGUCGGAAUCGCU
rnacentral:rRNA from 1 species